UACGAAGGGGGCUAGCGUUGCUCGGAAUCACUGGGCGUAAAGCGCACGUAGGCGGAUUGCUAAGUCAGGGGUGAAAUCCUGGAGCUCAACUCCAGAACUGCCUUUGAUACUGGCGAUCUUGAGUCCGGGAGAGGUGAGUGGAACUGCGAGUGUAGAGGUGAAAUUCGUAGAUAUUGGGAAGAACACCGGUGGCGAAGGCGGCUCUCUGGACCGACACUGACGCUGAGGCGCGAAAGCGUGGGGAGCAAACAGG
rnacentral:rRNA from 1 species